rnacentral:rRNA from 1 species
AUACGAAGGGGGCUAGCGUUGCUCGGAAUGACUGGGCGUAAAGGGCGCGUAGGCGGUUUGGACAGUCAGAUGUGAAAUUCCUGGGCUUAACCUGGGGGCUGCAUUUGAUACGUCAAGACUAGAGUGUGAGAGAGGGUUGUGGAAUUCCCAGUGUAGAGGUGAAAUUCGUAGAUAUUGGGAAGAACACCGGUGGCGAAGGCGGCAACCUGGCUCAUAACUGACGCUGAGGCGCGAAAGCGUGGGGAGCAAACAGGAUUAGAUACCCUGGUAGUCCACGCCGUAAACGAUGUGUGCUGGAUGUUGGGUGACUUAGUCAUUCAGUGUCGUAGUUAACGCGAUAAGCACACCGCCUGGGGAGUACGGCCGCAAGGUUGAA